rnacentral:rRNA from 1 species
GAUGAACGCUGGCGGCGUGCCUAAUACAUGCAAGUCGAGCGAACAGACGAGGAGCUUGCUCCUCUGACGUUAGCGGCGGACGGGUGAGUAACACGUGGAUAACCUACCUAUAAGACUGGGAUCACUUCGGGAAACCGGAGCUAAUACCGGAUAAUAUAUUGAACCGCAUGGUUCAAUAGUGAAAGACGGUUUUGCUGUCACUUAUAGAUGGAUCCGCGCUGCAUUAGCUAGUUGGUAAGGUAACGGCUUACCAAGGCAACGAUGCGUAGCCGACCUGAGAGGGUGAUCGGCCACACUGGAACUGAGACACGGUCCAGACUCCUACGGGAGGCAGCAGUAGGGAAUCUUCCGCAAUGGGCGAAAGCUUGACGGAGCAACGCCGCGUGAGUGAUGAAGGUCUUCGGAUCGUAAAACUCUGUUAUUAGGGAAGAACAAAUGUGUAAGUAACUGUGCACGUCUUGACGGUACCUAAUCAGAAAGCCACGGCUAACUACGUG